AGUAAUGCGUUGAAUGGAAAGAGUACAUUAGUUAAAGUUUUCAGAGAGGAAUUCUUAAACAAGCUGAAAGGAAUUCUAAAUAGAGAUUAAUGGAAGUGCAUCCGGGAGCAUCUAAGGUGAAGUAAUAGUAGUCUUAGCAGGUAUGCCUGUUACAGCAUAAAUGAGAUGUUGUACUUAUUCGUAUAAUAAUCGGAGUGGAAUCGUGGAUAUUUAUCUGCCUCUGUU
rnacentral:ncRNA from 1 species